ACCACCACUGCAGUCUGCCAGCAGCUGCAGCAGUCCAAGGUAUACCUGGCAGAGGAGCUUGUCAGAAUUAUCAAAACACACGUAAAAAGUACAGGUCUUUACUGAAGCUGGGCUGAGUUUACUUUGACAAGGGCAAACAGUGUUUAUGUGCUGUCUGUGUGAACAGCUGACAUCGAUCUGGGUUCAGAAGGAGCUGACAAUCACGACACCUGCAAUAGGUCUUAUUAUGGCUCCAUCACUUCAAUUAACAGCUCUACAUUGAAGGAAGCCUCUGGAAGCCAUCUAUUAUGCUUUCAAUUUUGAAGGAAUGAAAACUGGGAAAAUAGAAAUGGUGAAAAGAGAUACAUGCUAGAUCCUUGUAGAAGAUUACUUCUAGAAAUGUAAGGGCAGGCUUUGUGCAUUUAAGACCUUCAGUCUGAAGCUCAGGAGCAUGUCAAAUCUUUGUCAAUCACGCUUGAUAUUUGGUGUUAGUAUAAAUACUAAGAUUUCUGAUGAAAUAGAUUAGCCACAAAUAAAAUAACACAAUGUCUCAACAAUCCCUUCAUGUCAAAUGUGCAGUUCCACUAACACUCUUUGCAGAAGGAAUGGACUGCAAAUCCUAAUGUAAAAGAUUUUGCCACAAUUUAAAUUCUGACGGUUAUUUAAAAAGACUUCUUUUACUUUGCAUCAGCCUUUUGUUUUGGAAAGGAACUAUGCCAGGCAAUUUCAGCUGAAGUUUUUGUUUAUGAAAAAUGCCAUGCAAAGAAAUUGACAUUAAAAAAACUGAAAUAUUACACAUUUGUGAUGUUUGUGUUAAAUAAGUUGCCAUUUAAGCAACAGCAUGGUAGGUCAACUUAAACAAUAUUUUGUAGUUUGAAUAAUGUUACAAUGCUGUAGAGAAUGGCUGUCAGGAAAUUACUGGAAAUACCAAUAAAAUAUUCUACUUUUACCUGAACAAAGAGGAAAUACUGUAAAAUGGCAUUGAUGAUGACAUAGAGUUGGACACUCUCCUAAUAUGAACUGUUUAUAUUAAUGCUGUAAGUAAAAAAAUUAUUUAAUUUAUUUAAAUGCUUUAAAAUUGCAUCCUAGUCUUCUCAACUUCAUUGGUGAUUUAUGAUAAUCUGAAAUUCUUAUAAAACUCUAGUUGUUAGCUUCUAAAAUCUGAUUUAAUCUGAAUAAAAAUUUCAACUUUACUCAAAAUCAUACCAACCAACAGCAUUCUGAUGAGAUCCUCAUGGCAGGCAAUGACAGAAAAUAUUUGCUUGUUCAUUUAGAUUAGCCUCAGUAUUUCUGUGAUGUCACUCUCACAUUCAAGUUCCUUUAACACCCUCACCUAAGCCAUACCAUGUCACCAGGAGCCCUUCCUUAGUCUACUGUUGGUAUUCAUCUUGCUCCAUCAGCAGCUGAGUUAAAAUGGCCUACACUUAAUCCCACAGAAAUUGUUAUCAGUGAACUGGGUACCAUUCUGGGGUAAGAAUGAUUAGCAAGGCAAGGGAGCCUAUGUCUACACAAGGUGAGAUGCAUUUGAAAUACCAUGAAACCACUAUAUUGCAUUACACCACUCCAGGAAAUAAGAGAAUCCAUCAAGUUUUUAGGACUUUCUACUUUCUUAAAAAAUAUUUUGGACCUCCAUGUCAUUGUAAAUUGUCACCUCAAUAUGGCUGUAUGUAUGUAUGUAUGACUCAAUAUGUAUAUAACACCUCAAUAUGUAUGGCUCUUGGUUUCAAACAGGAAGGAUGGAAGCUGGACUUGAUCAUGCUUCACAGGGGAAAAUAAUGGGUUGUGUUUUCCAGCUUCUGUGUCCAAGAAGAAAUGGAAGAUAGCACUAGAGUAUCUGCAUUUCUGGUGAGGGGAACAGUUUGAAAUCUUACCUGGAGCAUUUAUGAGUGUUUCACAAGCUUCAGUGGUCUGGGUCUACCAAUGUAGCUACUUGAACAUUGAAACUUAGCAUGCAGUUUUCAGUGCUCCUUCUUUCUGUUACUAAGAAAGUAAUGGAAAAUAAAGGCAUGUUGCUUCA